rnacentral:rRNA from 1 species
GACGAACGCUGGCGGCGUGCUUAACACAUGCAAGUCGAACGGAAAGGCCCCUUCGGGGGUACUCGAGUGGCGAACGGGUGAGUAACACGUGAGUAACCUGCCCUUGACUUCGGGAUAACUUCAGGAAACUGGGGCUAAUACCGGAUAGGAAUCCUUGCUGCAUGGUGGGGGUUGGAAAGCUUCGGCGGUUUUGGAUGGACUCGCGGCUUAUCAGCUUGUUGGUGGGGUAGUGGCUUACCAAGGCCUUGACGGGUAGCCGGCCUGAGAGGGCGACCGGCCACAUUGGGACUGAGAUACGGCCCAGACUCCUACGGGAGGCAGCAGUGGGGAAUAUUGCACAAUGGGCGGAAGCCUGAUGCAGCAACGCCGCGUGCGGGAUGACGGCCUUCGGGUUGUAAACCGCUUUCAGCAGGGGCGAAGCUUGUGGUGACGGUACCUGCAGAAGAAGCACCGGCUAACUACGU